ensembl:lncRNA
GUGACCUGAUCGGCGUCAGUAGUUCACACUGGAUUCACCGCUUUAACAACUUGUUUAGUAGGAAGAGUUUGUCACCUUCUUGUUUUAAUAAGGAAGAAGAAGAAGGAGAAGAAGAAGCCUUAUGGUACCAACCUAAAUUGGUAGAAUUAAGGAAGUUUUUAGUUCCCCUGCUAAUUCAGAGAUAUAUAGAAAGCCUGCAUUUUUCAACCACCUUUGGCAAUUUGCUUUCGGUAGUUCAACAACUCCCUGGUGGACACCUUUACUGCUCACUGCUGGAUGUUGGACGGAGCGUGACGUGGCAUCUAAUGGAAGAAGACAAAUCAAGCGCUUGAGUAAAUGUACUUUGGAAGACAGCUAAGGUUCCCAGCCAUCAUCACAACCACUUCGCUCCCUCCACAUGUGGUACUAACAUCCAAGCAAGUGGUUAUCCUGGAUCUGACUGUACCCUGAGAAGACAGGAUAAAAAGGCCCAUGAGCAUAAGAGGACUAAGUACGCAGAUCUCAGCACAGUCGAGGUCGGAUGCCGUGGCUUAGCUGGUCAUUCACUUCUGUGAACCCCCAAACUCCAUGGAAUAAAAGGAUUGCAAUUGAAGAGAGCCAUCAGGAGCAUCCUAGAGGCCGCAGAGAGUUCCUCAUGGUGGCUGUGGAUCCGUAGGGAGGUUCCAUGGAGCAACUAGGCUGGGUCGCCCAGGCGAGGUGCAUGAAGAUUAAAGAGCCGAAACACCCUAUGACCCCGGGUUCUUCACUGAUGACGUGUCCGAGUAGCACCAGAAGGUGCAUCCAAAGUCUACUUAGUUAAAUUCCAGCUCUGCUUGCAUUAUAUUUUGGGCCUAUUUUGUCCAAUGUGAACAGACGUGGAUGCAUUUUUUACCUGAGUUGAAAUGAAUCAACACAUCUUUGACACAGAUUGAAAAGAAGCUGGACAUUGUUUGUGCUGGGUGGGGUUAUAUUUUGCAUGUAUUCAUAUUUUUAUGUCCACCACUGUGGUCUAUUGCAUGGUCAAUGAAAUCUGCCAGUGAUUUAAUGCAACUCCAGUAAAUACAAGCAAUAUACACUUAAAUUAAUAUUACUGGAACUGUCAACUGAAAGUGAACAUUAACUGUGUAAACAGAUGACUGCAUUGUUAGAUUCUACCUCUUAACGCGGCUUCUGCAUGUAUAUUGAAUCAGAAGCAGAUUACUUUAUUGUCAUUCAGGCAAAUUACAUUAGAGAUGCACUUCAGAACUAAAUGCCAAUGCAGGGCCAGCAAUGAAAACACACACAAUUAAAACACCUGAGAUCAAAUAAACAAACUGUAUGAUAUCAUUAGUCACUGUAAACUCAUAUGCACAUGACAAACCGGAGCGUUUCAGACACCAGUGGAUUGCAUGUGAUCUGUCAGGAUCAGGGUUUUGCUGUUGUUUUUGUGAUGUUGUAAUCUGCCUGCAGACUGUGACAGAAUGAACGCAGAAUGACAAGAAGAAGAAAACAACCUCUAAUCACUUUGUGACUGUCCUUGUAGCUGAUCUGUAUGUUAGUAACAAAAUGCUGAGUUGUGUGGAAAUGAUUUUGGUGUAAUAAAGUCCGAUAUGUUAUCUGCCACCAUCUGUUCACUGUAGUUUCUACGUCUUACACAAUAAUGUCAACUGUGUGAAGUGUGUGCACGGCUCUGUUGUAGAAUUCACAUGUAUAUUUGCAUUGUUUAAUAGUGUCUUUUUUUCUUCUUAAAGGUUCUUUAAAAUUGU